UAGGGAAUCUUCCACAAUGGACGCAAGUCUGAUGGAGCAACGCCGCGUGAGUGAAGAAGGGUUUCGGCUCGUAAAGCUCUGUUGGUAGUGAAGAAAGAUAGAGGUAGUAACUGGCCUUUAUUUGACGGUAAUUACUUAGAAAGUCACGGCUAACUACGUGCCAGCAGCCGCGGUAAUACGUAGGUGGCAAGCGUUGUCCGGAUUUAUUGGGCGUAAAGCGAGUGCNGACGGUUCAAUAAGUCUGAUGUGAAAGCCUUCGGCUCAACCGGAGAAUUGCAUCAGAAACUGUUGAACUUGAGUGCAGAAGAGGAGAGUGGAACUCCAUGUGUAGCGGUGGAAUGCGUAGAUAUAUGGAAGAACACCAGUGGCGAAGGCGGCUCUCUGGUCUGCAACUGACGCUGAGGCUCGAAAGCAUGGGUAGCGAACAGGAUUAGAUACCCUGGUAGUCCAUGCCGUAAACGAUGAGUGCUAAGUGUUGGGAGGUUUCCGCCUCUCAGUGCUGCAGCUAACGCAUUAAGCACUCCGCCUGGGGAGUACGACCGCAAGGUUG
rnacentral:rRNA from 1 species